rnacentral:rRNA from 1 species
GACGAACGCUGGCGGCGUGCUUAACACAUGCAAGUCGAACGGUGAAGCGAGUGCUUGCACUCGUGGAUCAGUGGCGAACGGGUGAGUAACACGUGAGUAACCUGCCCAUCACUCUGGGAUAAGCACUGGAAACGGUGUCUAAUACUGGAUACGACCAACCCUUGCAUGGGAUGUUGGUGGAAAGAUUUAUCGGUGAUGGAUGGACUCGCGGCCUAUCAGCUUGUUGGCGGGGUAAUGGCCCACCAAGGCGACGACGGGUAGCCGGCCUGAGAGGGUGACCGGCCACACUGGGACUGAGACACGGCCCAGACUCCUACGGGAGGCAGCAGUGGGGAAUAUUGCACAAUGGGCGAAAGCCUGAUGCAGCGACGCCGCGUGAGGGAUGACGGCCUUCGGGUUGUAAACCUCUUUCAGCAGGGAAGAAGCGAAAGUGACGGUACCUGCAGAAGAAGCACCGGCUAACUACGUG